UACCUAAACAAAUUUAAAAAGUUAAGCUUUUAAAUAACUAUUAAAGAUAUUAUCCCCUUGUAGUGUAGUUUAAUAGCUAUCUACAUAAUAACUUAAUAUAAAGUAUAAUAGUUUAUAUUUUAUAAUAUGACGUUAACAAUUUUGUUUAAUAUUUGAAAAUGUUAGUAUUAGUAAUAUUAGUAUAUGUGCUAAAGGAACUCGGCAAAAAACCACUCAACUGUUUAUCAAAAACAUAGCUAUAUGAAUUAAUAUAUAGUUAUUUCUGCUCAAUGACUUAAAUAGCCGCAGUACUCUGACUGUGCAAAGGUAGCAUAAUCAGUUGGCUUUUAAUUAGAGUCUGGUAUGAACGAAAAUAUGGGUAGUAACUGUCUUAGCACAUUUUUCUGAACUUAUUAAACAAGUGCAAAUGCUUGUAAUUUAACAAUAGACGAGAAGACCCUAGAAACUUGGACAAGUUUUUGUUGGGGCGACAGAAUUACAUUUAACUAAUCUUAUAAUACACGACGCGAUGUUGAAAGAAUAAGUUACUCUAGGGAUAACAGCAUAAUUUCAUUAGUUUGUGACCUCGAUGUUGGACUAGGUACUAUACCCUUAAGGCAAGGAUAUAUUAUGCUCUGUUCGAGCAAAAUUACCUACAUGAUCUGAGUUCAGACCG
rnacentral:rRNA from 1 species